rnacentral:rRNA from 1 species
CCUACGGGGGGCUGCAGUGGGGAAUUUUGGACAAUGGGGGCAACCCUGAUCCAGCCAUUCCGCGUGAGUGAAGAAGGCCUUCGGGUUGUAAAGCUCUUUCGGCCGGGAAGAAAUCGCAUCUCCUAAUACGGGGUGUGGAUGACGGUACCGGAAGAAGAAGCACCGGCUAACUACGUGCCAGCAGCCGCGGUAAUACGUAGGGUGCGAGCGUUAAUCGGGAUUACUGAGCGUAAACACUACGCAGGCUGCGAAAUGCCCGGGCUUAACCUGGGAACUGCGUUUGUGACUGGUGGGCUUGAGUGCGGCAGAGGGGGGUGGAAUUCCACGUGUAGCAGUGAAAUGCGUAGAGAUGUGGAGGAACACCGAUGGCGAAGGCAGCCCCCUGGGUCGACACUGACGCUCAUGCACGAAAGCGUGGGGAGCAAACAGGAUUAGAUACCCUGGUAGUC